rnacentral:rRNA from 1 species
UAGGGAAUCUUCGGCAAUGGACGAAAGUAUGACCGAGCAACGCCGCGUGAGUGAAGAAGGUUUUCGGAUCGUAAAACUCUGUUGUUAGAGAAGAACAAGGACGUUAGUAACUGAACGUCCCCUGACGGUAUCUAACCAGAAAGCCACGGCUAACUACGUGCCAGCAGCCGCGGUAAUACGUAGGUGGCAAGCGUUGUCCGGAGUUAUUGGGCGUAAAGCGAGCGCAGGCGGUUUCUUAAGUCUGAUGUGAAAGCCCCCGGCUCAACCGGGGAGGGUCAUUGGAAACUGGGAGACUUGAGUGCAGAAGAGAAGAGUGUAAUUCCAUGUGUAGCGGUGAAAUGCGUAGAUAUAUGGAGGAACACCAGUUGCGAAGGCGGCUCUCUGCUCUGUAACUGACGCUGAGUCUCGAAAGCGUGGGGAGCAAACAGG